AGUUGAUACAGUCGAUAAGGACGACAGAGCACGUAUUAUGAAAGCUGUAUCAACUGCAGUAACUGAUGGUUACAGUUACAUUAACCAACACGAAAAAACAUAUGGUAAACCAAAAGGUGCUAAUCCCGGAGGAAGUGGUAGUAUAAAUGGCAAUAGUAACAAAGGAACCUUAACAAUUGAAUGCCCGUAUUGUAAAGUUAACAACUUGCUAAGUGGACUAAACUGCACGAAUUGUCAUGAACGGCUUCAUCAGUAACAUAUGUAAGUGCUAAAUAUAGGGUUAUUAAAUUUUUUUGUGGUUUGAAUGAACGAUUAUUUAUUAUACAUUUUGUUUUUUUUUUGUUAUAAUUUAAUAUACGUUAUAAUAUUUUUAACUAUUGUAUUCAAACGCAUC